rnacentral:misc_RNA from 1 species
UCGUGCUGGUGCACCGAAUGCUUUCCACACGUUCCAUCAGUCAUUGCUCCACGAGAUAAGGUUGGAUGCAAAGCGGCGGGUUCCUGUGUUGCCUACCUAUUGUUGAUGGAAAUCGUUCAAUUCGAUGUGCCUUUCGUCCUCGCGUCCUCUCGGACGUUCGGAUGGACUAGACGGAAGGGCUCGUGUACCACGGACGAAUCGCACGAUCGUUCCGAUGGACCACGAGCUUCUUCUCGUUCUCUCGGAUGCGGAAAGUCCCUCAUGGGCGUGGGUCAUUGGCCCUCGGACCCUAAUCUUUAAGCGGACGGGAAACGCUUUACAUGGGAAUGACGCUCUCGCCUCGUCUUCGACCAUGCGGAGCCCCCGGGUUCUCGCGAUGGAUCGUGCGGGGUGGACGUCGUGAAGGAAUGCUACCUGGUUGAUCCUGCCAGUAGUCAUAUGCUUGUCUCAAAGAUUAAGCCAUGCAUGUGUAAGUAUGAACUAAUUCAGACUGUGAAACUGCGAAUGGCUCAA